GAGUUUGAUCAUGGCUCAGAAUGAACGCUGGCGGCAUGCCUAACACAUGCAAGUCGAACGAAGGCUUCGGCCUUAGUGGCGCACGGGUGCGUAACGCGUGGGAAUCUGCCCUUGGGUUCGGAAUAACAGUUAGAAAUGACUGCUAAUACCGGAUGAUGUCGUAAGACCAAAGAUUUAUCGCCCAAGGAUGAGCCCGCGUAGGAUUAGCUAGUUGGUGGGGUAAAGGCCACCAAGGCGACGAUCCUUAGCUGGUCUGAGAGGAUGAUCAGCCACACUGGGACUGAGACACGGCCCAGACUCCUACGGGAGGCAGCAGUGGGGAAUAUUGGACAAUGGGCGAAAGCCUGAUCCAGCAAUGCCGCGUGAGUGAUGAAGGCCUUAGGGUUGUAAAGCUCUUUUACCCGGGUACGUGAUAAUGACAGUACCGGGAGGAAUAAGCUCCGGCUAACUUCGUGCCAGCCGCCGCAGUAAU
rnacentral:rRNA from 1 species